rnacentral:lncRNA from 1 species
UCAAAAAACCCAAUGAAGCCUUGUUGAAGAAGUAAACGUGAACCAUAACACAAAAAGGAUGACCCUACUUAACAAAAAGAGUUCAAAUCCAAAUCUUUACCAACUAGCCAACAUUAAAGUAUACCUUAAUCCAAAUCCAAAUGGGUAAGUAAAAAGGCAUAACCCUUUUUUUCUUUAACUGCCAAUAAAUAAUAAAGUUUCUACCUAAAAGGUGUUGAAAAUUAGGUAUUGACUAUUUUUCUUCUUUGAGAAUAUUUGUAGGUGGCUUGUUGUUGCUAGUUGCUACCAGUAAUUUUUUUUAACCUGGGGUGAAAAAAAUCUAAUUGGGUCGUUCUUUUUUGGUUAGCAGGCUCAUGUCUUACCAAGAGAAAUAUUUGGAAUAUCAACUCUUGAAUUGUGGGUCGAUUUCAAAUUUGUUCGGAUAGUUUUCAAGGUAGUUUAUGAACUGU